GGCGGGUUCAUCUAAAGGUUAGGAUAUGAGACCUUCAAUCUCAUCAUAUCGGGUUCGAAUCCCAUACCCGUCACCA
rnacentral:tRNA from 1 species